UAAUUGGCGGAUCUGUUACUUACAAUGAUCAACCAUAUUCCAAGUUCUUAAAAAGCAGGUAGGUUUCUUUUGACGAUUUUCUAUGCAACACUGCUUCUGAAUGUUAAUAUACUGACAAGUGAAGAAUGAUGUUAUGUUUCCUCACCUAACUGUAAAAGAAACAUUGACAUAUGCAGCUUGUUCACAUAUGGUAUCUAUGAGCUAGGCUUGGAGAGAACAUGUGUCAAGGAGUGUCUGGUGGAGAGAGGAAAGAGUUUGUAUUGGCAAUGAGAUCAUAAUCAAUCCUUCUCUUCUAUUAGUUUGGAUUCUACAUCAGCCUUGGGGAUUGUUCAAAUGCUACAUGACAUAGCUGUGGUUUGCAUCUAUCAGUUUAAGGGCAGAGUUGUUAAUGUUGGUUUCAAGCGCCUGGAGAAGAGUCUAAGGAGGAUUUUGAGGAGCAUGCUGCGAAAGUCAAGACUCUAAAAGAGAGUCCAUCAAAUGAAAACUUGCUUAUCCUUUAUGGAUUGUACAAGCAAGCCACUCUUGGACCUGUUACCACCGGUGAGUUUUCUUUUAUUUAAGAA